rnacentral:misc_RNA from 1 species
CAGAGUUCAUGCCCUUCGGGGUAGAUCUCCCACCCGUGUAUUUAUACCUUUGUUGCUUUGGCAGGCCUGCCUCGGCCACCGGCUCCGGCUGGUGAGCGCCUGCCAGAGGACCCAAAACUCUGAAUUUAAUGUCGUCUGAGUACUAUAUAAUAGUUA